UAUCCUGGAAAUCUCCUUGAUGAAUAAUGAUGUGAUGGUGUGACCGUGUAGAGGUGCAAUGAAAUUACCUGAAUUAAAAAUUUAUGUGAAACUUCUUCAUCAUUGGAAUUGGAACAUGAAUCAUUUGAAAACACAGAGAGAAAACCUGUAUAAUACUAUUGGCGUUCCUAUAUGAUUUUAUGAGGAGGAAACGCGAGAAUGUCGUGCAGUCUAUACCGUCAACUAUUUUGUUAAAUAUUAUUGUAUCCUACUGAAUGUUCUGUCGAAAUGAUACAGAAUCCAUCAUAAUUAUCUGCUGUUUGUAUUGGACUUGCUAGAUCACCAACUCCAGCAUGGACCAAUCUCUCAUUUCAUCUUCUAGACAUCUAGAGAACCUUGGAGAACUGAUCGGUGGUUCCAUGUUCUAAGUCACAGGUUUCUAAAUUGGCAUGACAGACUUUAUGAGAAAUCGUAUGUAAUUUCAAGAAAAAGGACAGCCUGGACAGGACUAUGCAGUCAACACGAUUCCUUGUUUGCUAACCAUUGGCUGCCACCAUUGAAUCUCCCUUUUUACUUCCUUAAACGGGCCCUCUUGAUUUGAGGGUAAUCCUUCGCUACUUAUCGUGGACUUCAUCCAUUGCUCAUUGCUGAACACCGACGAGAGCAUGCAGUCAUUCAAAACUGAUGCAUUGUGUAGUUGUUAGAUAAAUUACAAGUGUAUAUCUGGGCUCCCUUCUUUUCUGUGGCCCCGUUUCCCUAAUUAACCACUAAUCAACGCCCGCCGAUGGUCACUCAGUGUUCUUCUUAGAAAAGCACGCAGUUUCUUUGUGGAAUCGUGUGGUCCUGGCACGGAGAUUCUUGAGCCAACGCUGGCUUCUGUCCAUGACCAAAGUUCUGCUCCAACCUUAUCUUCCCGACGUAAGCUCAUCCAGCUUCUGCUUCAUCGCUUCGUACACAAAAAUACAACUCGUCUUACUUCACUGACGAGUUGGAACACUUCAGUGGUCGCUUCCAUGCCGCUGUUACACACCUGCAGUCACUCACCACGGGAUUAUGCCCAGGUAAUGCAGAGGAGACGUCGAGAAGAUGGACUAAAA